UACGUAGGGUGCAAGCGUUAAUCGGAAUUACUGGGCGUAAAGCGUGCGCCGGCGGUUGUGCAAGUCAGAUGUGAAAUCCCCGGGCUUAACCUGGGAACUGCAUUUGUGACUGCACGGCUAGAGUGUGUCAGAGGGAGGUGGAAUUCCACGUGUAGCGGUGAAAUGCGUAGAGAUGUGGAGGAACACCGAUGGCGAAGGCAGCCUCCUGGGCCAAUACUGACGCUCAUGCACGAAAGCCAGGGUAGCAAACGGG
rnacentral:rRNA from 1 species